AAAGUUAUUUAAAGAAUAUUCCAAAAGCAAAUGAUUUUGAGGUUAUCAAUCUUUAGGAUUAGAAAAUUAUUUCAUAAAGGCAAAUCAUGUUUUAUUAUAAUAAAUUAAUAUUUUUAUAGCUUUUGAAAGUAUAUAUUUAUAAAACAAGAAUAACUAUUUUUAGCAAUGCAUUUACACAUGCGUGGCCAGCUUGAUUCUGUUCCUACUUUCCAUCAGUCUCGAAUCCGGUAUAUCCUCACUUCCUUUAUCCCCACUGUAUCUAACUGAGCGCGUGUGCAGUCGACGCGUCAAUUAUAUCUGAAUCGAAGACGACGUCUCAUCCUAGUUAUAUUGCAAGUAUGAAAGCAUUCUGAUUUUUCAUUAAUGAAUUCGAAUAUUCAGAUAUGUUUGCAUCAUUUUUCAUCAACAUGAUCAUAAAGUAAUCAAAUUUUAUAUCUUAAUAAUAGACAAUUGCUCCAUUCAUUGUAUGCAAAUAUUAAUUAUGCAACAAAUUUCUAGUAAUAAUCCAGUUAUUAUCUUUCUUAAAGGAAAGAAGUCCAAAAACUCAUCUAUAAUUAUCAUCUAAAAUAUAACACCAAGUUUAUUGAUUUUUCCAUUUGAAAAAAUUACGAAGUUGUGAUAUAAUUUUGCAGUAUUUCACACAGCAAACUCACAAUAUGCGUUAUCAUUAACUGCGAGAAGUGUGGAGAUCACAAGCGUAGGAUUCCGCGAUUUAUGAAUGAUUUGAAGGAGUGAAUGAACGGGGUCGACGCAUGCGCGCCACCAUCCAGAUUCCAUUCCCAUUCCAAUCUUGUCUCUAUUCUCUCUUUCUGUUUUAU